rnacentral:rRNA from 1 species
UAGGGAAUCUUCCACAAUGGACGCAAGUCUGAUGGAGCAACGCCGCGUGAGUGAAGAAGGUUUUCGGAUCGUAAAGCUCUGUUGUUGGUGAAGAAGGAUAGAGGCAGUAACUGGUCUUUAUUUGACGGUAAUCAACCAGAAAGUCACGGCUAACUACGUGCCAGCAGCCGCGGUAAUACGUAGGUGGCAAGCGUUGUCCGGAUUUAUUGGGCGUAAAGCGAGCGCAGGCGGAAUGAUAGGUCUGAUGUGAAAGCCCACGGCUCAACCGUGGAACUGCAUCGGAAACUGUCAUUCUUGAGUGCAGAAGAGGAGAGUGGAACUCCAUGUGUAGCGGUGGAAUGCGUAGAUAUAUGGAAGAACACCAGUGGCGAAGGCGGCUCUCUGGUCUGCAACUGACGCUGAGGCUCGAAAGCAUGGGUAGCGAACAGGAUUAGAUACCCUGGUAGUCCAUGCCGUAAACGAUGAGCGCUAGGUGUUGGG